rnacentral:rRNA from 1 species
CAGCAGCCGCGGGAAUACGUAGGGGGCAAGCGUUAUCCGGAAUUAUUGGGCGUAAAGAGUACGUAGGUGGCUAUAUAAGCGCAUGGUGAAAGGCAGAGGCUUAACCACUGUUAGCCUUGCGAACUGUAUAGCUUGAGUGCAGGAGAGGGAAGCGGAAUUCCUAGUGUAGCGGUGAAAUGCGUAGAUAUUAGGAGGAACACCAGUGGCGAAGGCGGCUUUCUGGACUGUAACCGACACUGAGGUACGAAGGCGUGGGGAGCAAACAGGAUUAGAUACCCCCGUAGUCCCUGUCUCUUAUACA